rnacentral:rRNA from 1 species
CCGACACAGGUAGUCAAGAUGAGAAUUCUAAGGUGAGCGAGCGAACUCUCGUUAAGGAACUCGGCAAAAUGACCCCGUAACUUCGGGAGAAGGGGUGCUCUUUGAGGUUCACGCUUCGAAGAGCCGCAGUGAAUAGGCCCAAGCGACUGUUUAUCAAAAACACAGGUCUCUGCUAAACCGUAAGGUGACGUAUAGGGGCUGACGCCUGCCCGGUGCUGGAAGGUUAAGAGGAGUGGUUAGCGCAAGCGAAGCUACGAAUCGAAGCCCCAGUAAACGGCGGCCGUAACUAUAACGGUCCUAAGGUAGCGAAAUUCCUUGUCGGGUAAGUUCCGACCCGCACGAAAGGCGUAACGAUUUGGGCACUGUCUCAACGAGAGACUCGGUGAAAUCAUAGUACCGGUGAAGAUGCCGGUUACCCGCGACAGGACGGAAAGACCCCGUGGAGCUUUACUGUAGCCUGAUAUUGAAAUUCGGUACAGUUUGUACAGGAUAGGUAGGAGCCUUAGAAGCGUGAGCGCUAGCUUACGUGGAGGCAUUGGUGGGAUACUACCCUAAUUGUAUUGGAUUUCUAACCCGCAGCACUUAUCGUGCUGGGAGACAGUGUCAGGCGGGCAGUUUGACUGGGGCGGUCGCCUCCUAAAGAGUAACGGAGGCGCUCAAAGGUUCCCUCAGAAUGGUUGGAAAUCAUUCAUAGAGUGUAAAGGCAUAAGGGAGCUUGACUGCGAGACCUACAAGUCGAGCAGGGUCGAAAGACGGACUUAGUGAUCCGGUGGUUCCGCAUGGAAGGGCCAUCGCUCAACGGAUAAAAGCUACCCCGGGGAUAACAGGCUUAUCUCCCCCAAGAGUUCACAUCGACGGGGAGGUUUGGCACCUCGAUGUCGGCUCAUCGCAUCCUGGGGCUGUAGUCGGUCCCAAGGGUUGGGCUGUUCGCCCAUUAAAGCGGUACGCGAGCUGGGUUCAGAACGUCGUGAGACAGUUCGGUCCCUAUCCGUCGUGGGCGUAGGAAAUUUGAGAGGAGCUGUCCUUAGUACGAGAGGACCGGGAUGGACAUACCUCUGGUGUACCAGUUGUCGUGCCAACGGCAUAGCUGGGUAGCUAUGUAUGGACGGGAUAAGUGCUGAAAGCAUCUAAGCAUGAAGCCCCCCUCGAGAUGAGAUUUCCCAACUUCGGUUAUAAG